GAUGAACGCUGGCGGCGUGCCUAAUACAUGCAAGUCGAGCGAACGGACGAGAAGCUUGCUUCUCUGAUGUUAGCGGCGGACGGGUGAGUAACACGUGGAUAACCUACCUAUAAGACUGGGAUAACUUCGGGAAACCGGAGCUAAUACCGGAUAAUAUUUUGAACCGCAUGGUUCAAAAGUGAAAGACGGUCUUGCUGUCACUUAUAGAUGGAUCCGCGCUGCAUUAGCUAGUUGGUAAGGUAACGGCUUACCAAGGCAACGAUGCAUAGCCGACCUGAGAGGGUGAUCGGCCGCACUGGAACUGAGACACGGUCCAGACUCCUACGGGAGGCAGCAGUAGGGAAUCUUCCGCAAUGGGCGAAAGCCUGACGGAGCAACGCCGCGUGAGUGAUGAAGGUCUUCGGAUCGUAAAACUCUGUUACUAGGGAAGAACAUAUGUGUAAGUAACUGUGCACAUCUUGACGGUACCUAAUCAGAAAGCCACGGCUAACUACGUG
rnacentral:rRNA from 1 species